rnacentral:rRNA from 1 species
CCUACGGGGGGCUGCAGUGGGGAAUAUUGGACAAUGGGCGAAAGCCUGAUCCAGCCAUGCCGCGUGUGUGAAGAAGGCCUUCGGGUUGUAAAGCACUUUCAGUGGGGAAGAAAGCCUUGGGGCUAAUACCCUCGAGGAAGGACAUCACCCACAGAAGAAGCACCGGCUAACUCCGUGCCAGCAGCCGCGGUAAUACGGAGGGUGCGAGCGUUAAUCGGAAUUACUGGGCGUAAAGCGCGCGUAGGCGGUCUGAUAAGCCGGUGUGAAAGCCCCGGGCUCAACCUGGGAACGGCAUCCGGAACUGUCAGGCUAGAGGGCAGGAGAGGAAGGUAGAAUUCCCGGGGUAGCGGUGAAAUGCGUAGAGAUCGGGAGGAAUACCAGUGGCGAAGGCGGCCUUCUGGACUGACACUGACGCUGAGGUGCGAAAGCGUGGGUAGCAAACAGGAUUAGAUACCCGAGUAGUC